rnacentral:rRNA from 1 species
GGCGAAGCUGAGCAGCAACGCCGCGUGAGUGAUGAAGGCCUUCGGGUCGUAAAGCCCUGUCAGGUGGGACGAACGGCCCGGGGGUUAAUACCCUUGGGGAGUGACGGUACCACCAAAGGAAGCACCGGCUAACUCCGUGCCAGCAGCCGCGGUAAUAA